rnacentral:lncRNA from 1 species
UCAGGUCUUAGAAGAAGUGAAUUCCACAUAUGCAUUCAACUGGCCAGACUUGAAGUCACAGAUGUCAGUUCACAUCACUGACCCAAAAUAUAACCAGCAACAUAACUGACAUUGAUAAUCCAUUUGCUUUCUUUUGUCUUUGGAAACAUCCUCUGAGAAUUCUAAGAUAUCCAAUAACUUCAUUUUUGCCAAAUUGAGGACACCUAUUUGUCUCAAGAACACAGAAUUACUAUUCAAUAUCACUAGUAUGUGAGUGAACAGGAACCCUGCAAAAUGAAGCUGAGAGUAAGAGGGAAAUUGGUAGUUCACAAGCAGGUCCUAGGAGAAAGGGAAUGUCUGAUAAGGUGACCAGAGAUCAAAAUAAGAGGGGUGCCUUCCAUCACCAAGUUCUUCUAUUCCUGUGCUGUAUCCUACAGAUGCAGAAAACCUGGACCAGGGCUCCCCUGAACACUUUCAGAGAUCUACUGAGGGACCUGAAACACCACCACCUGGAGCCCCUCCUAAUGGUGAAAACCUAGAAGGUGAAUCUCAGCUAGGUCCAGCCUCACAAGAUGGUGAACCUCAGCAAGGACCACCCCCAAAAGGUGAUGGACCUCGGCAGAAACCACGUCCAAAAGGUGAUGGACCUCAGCAGAGACCACAUCCACAAGGUGAUGGAUCUCAGCAGAGACCACCUCCACGAGAUGGUGAACCUCCGCAGAGACCACCCCCACCAAAGCAACGUUGUCAUCACCAUCCUCCCCCACUUUCUCCUGAAAGACAUCACAGACCACCACCCCCAAGACGUGGACCACAAAGAUCUCCCCAAGGCCCACCAACCCAGUAAUCUGGAAUUCAAUGACAGAAAAUAUGAAGAUAUGUGUCCUUCAGAAAGCCAUGGAAGAAGGCAGUCUAUCUUCCCUUUAUCAAUAAAACAAUCAGCAUCUAAUUUCUAAGGGUCAUGUCUCAUUCUGGGUGUUUGUGAGUCUGAAAUUUGAGGGCUGUGAACCCAGCAUAGGAGCAUCAAAGACCCGUUCUCAUCGAUAGGUCCAGAUGGCUUCCUCUGGGGCCACCUUCCUAGGAAACAUUUUUCCUUCGUUCUUUGCUUGAGGACAGGAGUGUGUAUCUCCUUUCAACCUGCUUUUGCCUCCUCUUUCCCCCUAGAACCAUUACUCAUAAGCCAUAUACCUCUUCCUCUCCCUCCAUGGUUUCUAUGGCAUUAGGCCAUAUUUAUUUUCUUUACACUUUUAACUAAGACUCUAGUAAUGUUAUGGAAAUAAGGAAAAUAUUUCAAAUGUAAGAAGUUGCACAGAAUGGAAAUUCUUAAAAUUUCCGAAAUAAUUGAUGCUAUUGCUAGGGAAAUGAGUGGUUCUAUGUCCUUACUCUCUGGAGUCUACUAUAUCCCACCUCCAUAUUUUUUUUAAACAUUUCUCAGUUUUUUCCCUCCUUAGAUCCCCGGCCUUUCUUUAACAAAACCUGAGUAUAUUUCAUAAAGGAAGUGGUAUGCUCCAAAGGAAUUUGGAGUUCUUGAGACUUGAGUUUAAAUCCUAUCUCUUUAUGUUAGCUCUGGACUCUUAGCAAGCUGCUUCAGGCCUCAGAGCCUUUGUUUACUCAUCCAUACAGUGAGGAUAAUAAUAAUAUCUACCCUAGAGGAUGAAUAUAAUGAGUUAACAUACAUAAAGAAAACCAUUUACAUCAACAAGUUAACGUUAUGGGGAGAAAGAG